ensembl:snRNA U1 U1 spliceosomal RNA
AUACUCACCUGGUGGCGAGACGACUUGAUCACAAGAUGGUUUCCCAGGCCAAUGUUCCUCCAUUGUACUUGGGUAUACUGACCUACAAGUUCUCCAAAUGCAGAAAAAGUUGACUACAUCAUUUGUGGUAGUGAAGAACGUCAUCCUCGCCCUUCCG